rnacentral:lncRNA from 1 species
CUCAGAGAGCCUCGGCUAGGUAGGGGAUCGGGACUCUGGCGGGAGGGCGGCUUGGUGCGUUUGCGGGGAUGGGCGGCCGCGGCAGGCCCUCCGAGCGUGGUGGAGCCGUUCUGUGAGACAGCCGGAUCAUUCCUUGAGGACAGGACAGUGCUUGUUUAAGGCUAUAUUUCUGCUGUCUGAGCAGCAACAGGUCUUCGAGAUCAACAUGAUGUUCAUAAUCCCAAGAUGUUGCCAUUUAUGUUCUCAGAAGCAAGCAGAGGCAUGAUGGAGGGUCUCUUCCUUCAUCUUGAUCUGAAGGAUGAACAAAGGCUUGAGCAGUGCGCUUUAGAAGAUAAACUGCAGCAUGAAGGCCCCCGAUGUUCACCCAGACUACAUGGACCUUUCGCCACACAUGUCCCAUUCCAGAUAAGGCCUGGCACACACAAAAAACAUAAGUCAUUAGGCUACCAGUCUGAUUCUAAAACAACCUAAAAUCUUCCCACUUAAAUGCUAUGGGUGGUGGGUUGGAAAGUUGACUCAGAAAAUCACUUGCUGUUUUUAGAGAGGAUCUGGGUUCAGUUUCUGAUACAUUGUGGCUUACAACUAUAACUCCAGUUCUAGGGGGUCCAUCCAACAUCCUCUUCUGUUGAGGGCACCAAAUAAAUGUAUUGUGUACAAACAGGGAGGUGAGUGAUUUAACUCUCGUGUAUAGUACCUUGGUAAAACAUUUCUUGUCCUGAGUAAGCAGUACAGCUCUGCCUGUCCCUGGUCUACAGACACGGCUCAUUUCCCGAAGGCAAGCUGGAUAGAGAUUCCAAUUUCUCUUCUUGGAUCCCAUCCUAUAAAAGAAGGUCAAGUUUAAUCUAUUGCAAAAGGUAAAUAGGUAGUUUCUUACAUGAGACAAGAACAAAUCUUAGGUGUGAAGCAGUCAUCUUUUACAGGCCAGAGCCUCUAUUCUAUGCCAAUGAAGGAAACUGUUAGUCCAGUGUUAUAGAGUUAGUCCAGUGUAUAGUUUUCUAUCAGAACACUUUUUUUUUAAACAACUGCAACUUAGCUUAUUGAAGACAAACCACGAGUAGAAAUCUGUCCAAGAAGCAAGUGCUUCUCAGCCUACAAUGUGGAAUAGGACCAUGUAAUGGUACAGUGAGUGAAAUGAAUUAUGGCAUGUUUUUCUGACUGAGAAGACAGUACAAUAAAAGGUAAACUCAUGGUAUUUAUUUAAAAA